rnacentral:ncRNA from 1 species
GCUGCGAGGGCAGAUUAAAAGGGAAGCUGGUGCAAAACCAGCGCUAUCCCCGUAGCCGUGAGGUCAUCAUGGUGCUACUAUGAGCCACUGCCCUAUACUGGGGUGGGAAGGCGUAGCACUUCGGACUGAGCCGGAAGACCUGCCCCCAGCC